UGGAAAUUCAUUUUCUUAUUGACCAAAUUCAAAGUCUCAGAGUUAUUCACAAUUCAUAUUAAAGAACUAGAGUUUUACAACAAGUAAAGUUUUGCAUAUUUACAAUCCUGAUCAUCUGUGUGUCCGUCCACAUUCGCUGGUGCAGGGAUUCUCCCUUUGAAGCCUUUACAUAUUUACAAGUCCGGAUCAAUUGUGUUUCCGUCUACAUUCGCUGGUGCAGUGAUUGUUAUAUACUUCCAGGAUUCUAAUCUGAUCACAGGUACAACUUUUUCCUUACCGCAAGCUGAACAUGAUCGUAGCGCAGCCCACUUUUAGCGCAAGGCCUUUACAAUAUCGCACACCGUGUUCAAUAGAGUCACAACUCAAAUAAUACGGUUGUAAGAAAAUGCGAAAAACUAUUUCUUAGCACACAUGGAAAUG